rnacentral:lncRNA from 1 species
UCUUUUUUUUUUUUCUUUUUUUAAAUAAUGGUUUUUAUUUUUUCCAUUAUAGCUGAUUUACAGUGUUCUGUCAAUUUUCUACUGCACAGCGAGGUCAGCCAGUCACGUAUACAUAUAUACAUUCUUUAUUCUCAUAUUAUCAUGUUCCAUCACAAGUGAAGAGACAUAGUUCCCAGUGCUAUACAGCAGGAUCCCAAUGCUUAUCCAUUCCAAAGGCAAUAGUUUGCAUCUAUUAACCCAAAAUUCCCAGUCACUCCCAGUCCCUCCCACUCCCCCCCUGGCAACUGCAAGUCUGUUCUCCAUGUCUUUUCUGUGGAAAGGUUCAUUUAUGCCAUUUAUUACAUUCUAGAUAUAAGUGAAAUCAUAUGGUAUUUGUCUUUAUCUUUCUGACUUACUUCACUUGGUCUGAGAGUCUCUAUUUCCAUCCAUGUUGCUGCAAUGUCAUUAUUUUGUUCUUUUUUAUGGCUGAGUAGUAUUCCACUGUGUAUAUAUACCACAUCUUCUUAAUCCAUUCAUUGGUCAGUGGACAUUUAGGUUGUUUCCAUCUCUUGGCUAUUGUGAAUAAUUCUGCAAUGAACAUGUGGGUGCAUGUGUCUUUUUCAAGGAAAAUUUUUUCUGGAUAUAUGCCCAAGAGUAGGAUUGCUGGGUCAUACACGUAUAGUUUUCUAAGGGGCACACCCAUGGCAUAUGGAGUUUCCCAGGCUAGGGGUCUAAUUUUAGCUGUAGCCACCAGCCUACACCAGAGCCACAGGAACACCAGAUCUGAGCCGUGUCAGUGACGUACACCACAGUUCAGGGAGCCACAACCCAAAGAGCGAGGCCAGGGAUCGAAUCCGCAACCUCAUGGUUCCUGGUCGGAUUUGUUUCUGCUGUACCACGGCAGGAUCGCUCAUUCUUUAUCUUCAAAUUUUAUACUAUAUGACUGGAAUUCCUAAUAUUUGCAUAUUGAAUCUCUUGAAUUUGGCACUUUUUGUUUCAUCUAUUUUCUAUUUCUAUUAUUUUUUUCUACUUUUUAUGAGACAAUGGAUUUUAUGUUUAAAGGCUUCUGUUGUUUUUCUUAAUUCCUUCUCUCAUAUUUUCUCAUAUUUCUCUAAUUCUUUCAUAUUUCUCAUAAUAGUAAGAGCAUUUUUGCUGCUCUUUGAGAGUUACUGUUUCAUAGCUUCCUGUUCCUAUUUUGUAGAUUUCAUAUAAUCUUUUAUACCUUGGAAGACACCAAUGAUAGUAUUUUAAGUUCUCUUCUUGCUGUGUGGUUACUCUUUCUUCUAAUUUCUUUUUUUCUCUCUCUCUUUAGUCUGACUUUUGUAUUAUAUACUUUUUCAAUGACAGAUGCCUAGACUGAUUUCCAGUUUAUAAGGAUGGCACUGAUAUCUGAUUAGAAGUUUUGUGCUUGUCAGUGGGCUCUUUUACAAUAGGGAGACCUACCUGGCUGUUGUCAUUGUUCAAUCCCUGAAGUCAAUACUACUAGGUCUUUCCUCUUAAACUAGUCCAAUUCUCUAGAGAGGAUUCUUUCAAUCUCCAACACAUAAGUCUAGCUGCCAGCACUCUGAAAGCUUAGAGUAGAGAGGACAGGGAAAUUUCCAUGUCUCAACACUGAGUAGGUAAAUUUUUCCUUGUUUUCCCUAUUUUCACUAUUGCUCCUCCAUCUCUGUGCCCAUUGGUGCCUGGUGUCUGUCUUUUCAGAGGAUUUUGUUUUACUUUAUUUAGAGAAUAAGCUCCUCUUUUCUAGCUGGAUGAGUGGAAAGCUGUUUGAACAAAGGAAGGUGAUCUAAUCAUCUGAUGGCUUUUCAACAGUGUUUCUUUCAGUCGUUUCUUUUGCAUUUUUUCUCAGGUUUUCUCCCAUCACCAGAGGUAUGUAAAGCUGUCAAUUUCUGAGCCUUUUGGGAGUUCUGUGGUAUAAAUCAAGUUGCUUCUUGGCUUCCUUCACUGCCAGCUUAAGAAUCUAUUUUUGUGGGUCUGCCAAGUUAGUUACUACAAUUCAGGCAUCUGCUUUCCAGCUCCCAAAAUUGUUAUGCCAUUCUCUUGGUCCUUAUGAAUAUAUGCUUUUAAAAAUAUUUUGGCUAUCUUUGUAGUGCUUUCUUUGUUUGUUUGUUUGUUUUUUGAAGGGUAUGAGUGGGUUGGGAAAAGGGGAUGAAAGUAAGAAUAUAGGUAUAGUGUGUGUUUGUAGGUGUAUGUGUGUGUUCUACUAUUUUUAGCUGGAGGUCUCAAAAUAAUUAUUUUUAGAACUCCUUUUUUGUUCCCUGGCAGAGUGUGUUUUUAGCAGAAAUCCUAUCUACCAUGUAACUGAAAAAAAUAAAUAUUUGAAAAACAGCAUUUUCAUGAAAUACCUCUGGGCAUUUUAUGAAAAAUGGUUGAAAGUUGAAGAGUGAAGUAUGAUUAUCACAACCUCUGGGGAGUCAACAGAAAAGCAAAGGAUUUUUAAAGACUCUCCACUAUUUUUCAGGCACUGUGCUCUACUCCUUAGGAUAUGUUAUCACAUUUUCUUUUGAUGCAACAAUGAUUCCAUAAACUAGAGUUUAUUACCGUUGUUUUUACAAAGAAGGGAACAGAGGGUAACCCAUAAGCUAGAAAACCAAAAACCAAACAAAAGCAAAAAUGAAAACACACAGCUAUUGAAUAAAAAUGCUUGCAAGUAAAGCCCCUAAUCGAAAUUCACUGCGUGGCUGAAACACAGCAAGGUGAGUGAAUAGUGCCCUAUUACAAUGAUCCAAAUUCUUCCUUGUCACAAACUCCUGCUUGACCUAAACGAAGGAAGGAGAUUUCGCUGAGAGUGUGGUCUCUGACUGGAAACAAGGCUAACUCAUUCUGUGACCUUGGGCACAUUACUUCACGUUCAGGGCCCCCAUUUCUCCAUCAGUAAAACAAGGUCAUCCGAAUAAAUGGUCUGUUGCAUUCUGAUGAUCUAUCUUGCAGAUGGUGAGCUGGAGGUGCUGAGAGCUCCAAGUCAGAGGGGAAGUCAAAUACUCGGCCACACUCUCACUCUCUGUUUAUGCUUUUUUGCAAGAAACUGCCCAACCCAUAGUUCGACGGUCUUCCAAAUGCCAGUGGGCACGAAUGAUGGUUUUCUCCCAAGUCCCUCUUCAGAACUGAAUCUCUCCACAUCCCUUUCAGGGACUGCACUGUCUCCUCUAAGCUCAAGGUAAAUAAAUACUCCAAGACGUGGAACAGAACUGGAAGUCACAGUUGGAGAAAGGAGGCGGCAAACCUUGGACCUUUUACCGUAUGGCCUUACACUUUUGAUUAUUUUAUGAAAGCAUGAAGUGACAUGUUGGUUUCUUCAAAGCCAUUCUUGUACAUGCCUUCCAGGGUUAUAAGCCAUGUGAAUUUAGAUAAUGAGGUAAUUGGGUUUAAUGACUGAAGCAGUGAUUCAGGAAGGAGUAGACCCCAAAUUAUUUAUAAUAAUUGUUACUAAUACUUGUAUGAUAUUACUAAAGCAACCUCAAAAUGGUAAUAACUGCCAUUUGAGAAAUGGAAGUGAUCAUACAUAUAAUUUUACCCAAGUUACCUGUGCCUGGAUCUGGAAUCUAAGACUCAGAGAGACAAUGGAACUUGAGCGAAAAUUUGACCAAAAUUAUGCUAAUUCUUAAUUUGAUGCUUUUUUUUCCCCCUGUAAAUAACUUCCUUGCUCCCUUGCUGGUGAUAUCAAUCCAUCUCCUUCAACAAAUGUCAUAGUGCUGAUUUGUAACUAUGAUUGACAUCUGUGACAGAAUAUUUAUUGGUUUGCUGGUUACUUUGAUUAAUAAUGAUGUUCCAGCAAAAUUAAGUUUAGGCUACUCAUAGAGAAAUUAGAUCAAAAAAGGCAAGAUGUAGAAGCCUGAUUUCAACACCAAAAUCAUCUAAAUACAAUUGUAAUAGUAUAAGUAAAAUGAAAUAACAUUUUAUGCCAUGGUAUAAAUAAUAAAAGUUUGUUUUCAUUUAGUAAUUUUAUUCUCUCUGUUUAUUCCAGGAAUAUUAUACAUUCGGUGUUGUCCGUGUGCUUUAGAAUGAUUAUCUCAUUCAGUUGUCAUGAUAUUAAAUAAAGUAGGUGUAAUGAGUAUCCCCCUCCCCUAGAGCUCAGAGAGAUAGGUGAAUUUCUCAAGGUCUACACAUGGUAUUUCCAGGAUUGGAAUAUUAUUCCAGACAGAUCUAAUUUGCAAAUGUCAGGGUUUUUAUUGCUGAGUUACACUUCCAAAAAUUUCCCCUAAACUGAUAAAUUUUACAGGAAGCACUCCCAAGAAAGAUUUCACACAUCUUUAAAGCAAUGCUCUUAUUGCAGUUUUGCCAACUUUAUCACCACUAUUUAAACCAAACCAAAUGCUUCUUUUAUCUGGGUGGCUAUUUGUUUAGCAGUGUCUUUCUCAGCAUCUUGAUCUUUACUUUUAUCUUUUUGUCAGUGAGAAUUUUGCUGAUACCAGAGUCAUCUGUGAUUUCUUAGUAGAGUCUUUUGUAUGUACUCUAAGAAAUAUUAUUAUUUUUUUGUGGUCCCAAAUCAACUUAUCUCAAAUGGUGGUGCACUGUAAUAUUUUAUUGACACUUCAUCCUCAUCAUACUAGUUUAUAUCUUAAGCUUGAUUUUUCUCAUCCUUCGAUUUCUUUAUGAGAGAAAAUAUCUAAACUUAAUCUUUUGAGACUUGUGAAAAUAAGUUCUUCAACUUCUUUAUUUCCAGUUUCUUUAGUUCAAAAACAGAUAAAAUAAGAUAAAAUUAGGUAAUCAUUCUUUCAUGCAAAGUUAUUGAUAUUAACAUAGCUAAUUACAAUUAUGUGUUCAUUGAGUUGGUAAAUUAAUUACUUAGACUUAAAGAGACAGGGAUUCAAAUGCUGACUUUGCCCUUUUAGUAAAGGUUUUGGGGUAUGUUUUAUUUUUAUGGAAAGUAGUACUAUUAUCACUUCCACCCAGGGUGGCUGGAUGAACCGAGAUUGUACGCGGGGAAGAAUAAACAAUGCCUGUCAUGUAAUUCGUGUUAAAUAAUUGUUUAUCAUUUAUUGAUUCAGACUUAUUCACCCCCAGAACUGCUUCUUCCUAGUAUAAGGAAUUAGUAUAAGUAUACGGAGCAAGCAAAUUGGUUAUACAAGGUAAGCCAUUUCAACUGUAUUGAAAUCAUUUGCCUGAAACGUUUUUGUUCCCAUUCAACAUUGCUUGUUUACACGGUGUCGGAUCAAAUGGGAGAGAGAACAAGGUGAUUCACGAUCAUCCUCCAAAGAGGCAGCUGCAACAUAAACGAUGUCUCAGGAAACAGCAUAAUCUGUUUAUGUGGCCACAACUGUGUGAUCUCUGACCUGUCUUAAUCUUCAGGGGUGGAUAUGUGUGGCACUUUUGUCCCCAGGUGGAACCGAAUAUUGAC